rnacentral:piRNA from 1 species
UAUUAAACCCUAAGAUCUAAGGCAUCCUUUGC